rnacentral:rRNA from 1 species
AACGAACGCUGGCGGCAUGCCUAACACAUGCAAGUCGAACGAGACCUUCGGGUCUAGUGGCGCACGGGUGCGUAACGCGUGGGAACCUGCCCUUAGGUUCGGAAUAACUCCCCGAAAGGGGUGCUAAUACCGGAUAAUGUCUUCGGACCAAAGAUUUAUCGCCUUUGGAUGGGCCCGCGUUGGAUUAGCUAGUUGGUAGGGUAAAAGCCUACCAAGGCGGCGAUCCAUAGCUGGUCUGAGAGGAUGAUCAGCCACACUGGGACUGAGACACGGCCCAGACUCCUACGGGAGGCAGCAGUGGGGAAUAUUGGACAAUGGGCGAAAGCCUGAUCCAGCAAUGCCGCGUGAGUGAUGAAGGCCUUAGGGUUGUAAAGCUCUUUUACCCGGGAUGAUAAUGACAGUACCGGGAGAAUAAGCUCCGGCUAGCUCCGUG